UACGUAGGGUGCAAGCGUUAAUCGGAAUUACUGGGCGUAAAGCGUGCGCAGGCGGUUUUUGUAAGUCAGAUGUGAAAUCCCCCGGGCUUAACCUGGGAACUGCGUUUGAAACUACAAGGCUAGAGUGCGACAGAGGGGGGGUGGAAUUCCACGUGUAGCAGUGAAAUGCGUAGAGAUGUGGAGGAACACCGAUGGCGAAGGCAGCCCCCUGGGUUAACACUGACGCUCAGGCACGAAAGCGUGGGGAGCAAACAGG
rnacentral:rRNA from 1 species